GCCUUCGUGGUGUAGUGGUCAGCAUGCUGGGCGCGUAUUCCAGAGGUCCGUGGUUCGAGUCCCGGCGAAGGCU
rnacentral:tRNA from 1 species